rnacentral:rRNA from 1 species
UACAGAGGUCUCAAGCGUUUGUUCGGAUUCAUUGGGCGUAAAGGGUGCGUAGGCGGCGCGGUAAGUCGAGUGUGAAAUCUCGGAGCUUAACUCCGAAACUGCAUUCGAUACUGCCGUGCUUGAGGACUGGAGAGGAGACUGGAAUUUACGGUGUAGCGGUGAAAUGCGUAGAUAUCGUAAGGAAGACCAGUGGCGAAGGCGGGUCUCUGGACAGUUCCGUGACGCUGAGGCGCGAAGGCUAGGGGAGCAAACGGG